rnacentral:rRNA from 1 species
GAACGAUGAAGCCCAGCUUGCUGGGUGGAUUAGUGGCGAACGGGUGAGUAACACGUGAGUAACCUGCCCUUGACUCUGGGAUAAGCCUGGGAAACUGGGUCUAAUACCGGAUAGGAACGUCCACCGCAUGGUGGUUGUUGGAAAGAUUUAUCGGUCAUGGAUGGACUCGCGGCCUAUCAGCUUGUUGGUGAGGUAAUGGCUCACCAAGGCGACGACGGGUAGCCGGCCUGAGAGGGUGACCGGCCACACUGGGACUGAGACACGGCCCAGACUCCUACGGGAGGCAGCAGUGGGGAAUAUUGCACAAUGGGCGAAAGCCUGAUGCAGCGACGCCGCGUGAGGGAUGACGGCCUUCGGGUUGUAAACCUCUUUCAGUAGGGAAGAAGCGAAAGUGACGGUACCUGCAGAAGAAGCACCGGCUAACUACGUGCCAGCAGCCGCGGUAAUACGUAGGGUGCGAGCGUUAUCCGGAAUUAUUGGGCGUAAAGAGCUCGUAGGCGGUUUGUCGCGUCUGUCGUGAAAGUCCGGGGCUUAACCCCGGAUCUGCGGUGGGUACGGGCAGACUAGAGUGCAGUAGGGGAGACUGGAAUUCCUGGUGUAGCGGUGGAAUGCGCAGAUAUCAGGAGGAACACCGAUGGCGAAGGCAGGUCUCUGGGCUGUAACUGACGCUGAGGAGCGAAAGCAUGGGGAGCGAACAGGAUUAGAUACCCUGGUAGUCCAUGCCGUAAACGUUGGGCACUAGGUGUGGGGACCAUUCCACGGUUUCCGCGCCGCAGCUAACGCAUUAAGUGCCCCGCCUGGGGAGUACGGCCGCAAGGCUAAAACUCAAGGAAUUGACGGGGGCCCGCACAAGCGGCGGAGCAUGC